AACGAACGCUGGCGGCAGGCUUAACACAUGCAAGUCGAACGCAUCCUUCGGGGUGAGUGGCAGACGGGUGUGUAACGCGUGGGAACGUGCCCUUCAGUUCGGGAUAACCCAGGGAAACUUGGGCUAAUACCGGAUACGUGCGAGAGCAGAAAGAUUUAUCGCUGAAGGAUCGGCCCGCGUCUGAUUAGCUAGUUGGUGGGGUAAUGGCCCACCAAGGCGACGAUCAGUAGCUGGUCUGAGAGGAUGAUCAGCCACAUUGGGACUGAGACACGGCGCAAACUCCUACGGGAGGCAGCAGUGGGGAAUAUUGGACAAUGGGCGCAAGCCUGAUCCAGCCAUGCCGCGUGAGGGAUGACGGCCUUCGGGUUGUAAACCUCUUUUAGUAGGGAAGAAGCGAAAGUGACGGUACCUGCAGAAAAAGUACCGGCUAACUACGUGCCAGCAGCCGCAGUAA
rnacentral:rRNA from 1 species